rnacentral:rRNA from 1 species
UGAGGCGGGCUGGACCUCUCGGGGUUACAGCCUUGCUGAAUUAUUCACCCUUGUCUUUUGCGUACUUCUUGUUUCCUUGGUGGGUUCGCCCACCACUAGGACAAACAUAAACCUUUUGUAAUUGCAAUCAGCGUCAGUAACAAAUUAAUAAUUACAACUUUCAACAACGGAUCUCUUGGUUCUGGCAUCGAUGAAGAACGCAGCGAAAUGCGAUAAGUAGUGUGAAUUGCAGAAUUCAGUGAAUCAUCGAAUCUUUGAACGCACAUUGCGCCCUUUGGUAUUCCAAAGGGCAUGCCUGUUCGAGCGUCAUUUGUACCCUCAAGCUUUGCUUGGUGUUGGGCGUCUUGUCUCUAGCUUUGCUGGAGACUCGCCUUAAAGUAAUUGGCAGCCGGCCUACUGGUUUCGGAGCGCAGCACAAGUCGCACUCUCUAUCAGCAAAGGUCUAGCAUCCAUUAAGCCUUUUUUUCAACUUUUGACCUCGGAUCAGGUAGGGAUACCCGCUGAACUUAAGCAUAUCAAUAAGCGGAGG